rnacentral:misc_RNA from 1 species
ACGAGUUAACUUGGGGCUGGUGGGAUUCGAUGCUGGCCGUCCGCGGCACGUGCUCGUCCCCCUGCCCCUCAUCCACUCACAACCCCUGUGCAUCAUGAGAGGCGUCGGUUCCCCCGUCACGGGAGCAGCUCCCCCCUUGGGUCGAGCCGGGAUCACGCUUCGAACCCCCUUACACAAACGUUAACACAGUAUUGUAGAAUGUCAUGACCGUCAACGGUCGAACCUAUAUA